rnacentral:lncRNA from 1 species
AGGUGCGGAUCGAUGAGUACGAUCACUCCAAGCUCAUCCAGGGGCAACAGAAGAAGCCCUUUGAGGAGCACUGGAGGAAGCACACCCUGUCCUAUGUGGACGUCAGCACUGGGAAGGUCACUCUGGAAUAUAGACCCAUAAUCGACAAAACUUUGAACGAGGCUGACUGUGCCACCGUCCCCCCAGCCAUUCGCUCCUACUGAUGAGACAAGAUGCGGUGAUGACAGAAUCAGCUUUUUGCACAGCCAGAGAACAACACAUCACACACAAGAAACAGUUGUGCUCAUGUGAUGGGGGCCUCAGCACUAGGAAGGAGUGGACUGUUGGCGCACGCAGCAGCUUGAAUAAAUCUGAAAGUCACUACGCUGCGUAAGAGAAGCCAAAUAAAGCGCAUGCUGUGUACAGAGGGUGUCGAGAAUGUGUCCUACGUGACGGAAAGCAGAUCCGUGGUUCCCUGCAGACUGGCAGGAGCAGAUUCCAAAGGCACAGGAAGAAGCUUGCAGGCAGCUAUUCCCAACCCCAGAACCUUUGCUGUCUUGGAACAGAUCACCACUGCAAGAGGGGAAGUUGCUACUGUGAUGAAUUCUGCCAUGUGGUACCAGACUGCUACCCAGACCACAGUGUCCUCUGCAACCCUCGUAACUCACAUACAGGCCUGAUUCCACCUACAGCAAAGCUGGAUGCUAUGGUUGGCAGAGGCAAACCCUUUGCCUGCACUUCAGGCCAAAGCCGGGAUGUGGCCUAGAUGGUUCCUAAGGUCCCUGACAAUCCUGAGAUCUUGCAUCUUGUCUAUUUCAGGUCAAAGGUGCCUACAUGUUCCUUCUAGCUUUGUUUCCCUGAUGUUCCUUGCCACCUGCUACUCCUCUCUGAGCUA